UACGAAGGGGGCUAGCGUUGCUCGGAAUUACUGGGCGUAAAGGGCGCGUAGGCGGACAGUUUAGUCAGAGGUGAAAGCCCAGGGCUCAACCCUGGAAUUGCCUUUGAUACUGGCUGUCUUGAGUACGGGAGAGGUGUGUGGAACUCCGAGUGUAGAGGUGAAAUUCGUAGAUAUUCGGAAGAACACCAGUGGCGAAGGCGACACACUGGCCCGUUACUGACGCUGAGGCGCGAAAAGCGUGGGGGAGCCAAACAGGGAUUAAGAAAACCCCUAGUAGUC
rnacentral:rRNA from 1 species